rnacentral:rRNA from 1 species
UACGAAGGGGGCUAGCGUUGUUCGGAAUUACUGGGCGUAAAGCGCACGUAGGCGGAAUGUUAAGUCAGGGGUGAAAUCCCGGGGCUCAACCCCCGGAACUGCCUUUGAUACUGGCAUUCUCGAGUCCGGAAGAGGUGAGUGGAAUUCCGAGUGUAGAGGUGAAAUUCGUAGAUAUUCGGAGGAACACCAGUGGCGAAGGCGGCUCACUGGUCCGGUACUGACGCUGAGGUGCGAAAGCGUGGGGAGCAAACAGG